rnacentral:lncRNA from 1 species
GAAUCUGACUGGAGAUCACUGACUUCCUCUGAACUUCCUGCCUGCCGGCAUCCAUUGAGGAAGAGUAUCAACCCCAAUUUUAAAUAGGCCAAGGAAGAAAUCUCAGUAUCUUUCUUGGAAAUUUUCUCCUUGACACAGUAUAUAUACAGCCCUUGGCACAGUGAUUGGCACUCAAUCGGGCGAGAUAUAAAAAUGGGUAUUCAGCAUAAAUUUCUCUGGAAAAUGUCCUUCCACUGGGAAAAUGAAGGCAAUCGCCACACAGCCCGAAUCCCUCAUGGAUUCAUCCUUGGUUUCUCUUCCUUCAGGGCGCUUUUGUGCAGUUCUUUAAAGACAAUUAAUAAAAGUAGUUAAUCACACAAAACUGUGACAUAUACAGUCAGUCUUAAACUUGAUAUUGUAGAUGAUCAGAAAUAAAAAUAAUACCAGUUAUAACCAUUGCAUCAAUUUUGGUCAUUUAUUAGUGUUCAAUUAGUUUUUUUGCAGAUUGGUGGCUAUUUUACAGGUUGAAAAGUUAUCCACAUCGCUUCUUGGCCUUUUGGCUAAGAUCAAGUGUGAAAAGUGAUCAGCAAGGUAGUGUAAAUGAUUUCCUAAAUGCCUGUAUUGCAGUGGAUCUUUGCGUUAUGUGAGGUUUCAGUGCUUUUUCACAUAUAACUUUUGGAAGUCUGUUCGAGAGAUUUCCAGAAAGAGUUCUCAGUCAAGCGUUGGUUGAAACAGGAUGGUGACGGCUGUCCUUUUAACCUCUACCACAUUCGGUUUUUAAAACAAUGUCUCCCAUCACACAGCAAUGCUGAAGUAAUUAUCAAAACUUUCCCAGACUGUUCUUGGACACCCUGGUUAAUGUCCUGUGAGUUAUGGGUUACGAGAUAAAGAAAAGCAAAUAGGUCCUCUAGGCAGAACUGAGACUGAAUAUGCUAAUAUUUAUUGCACGGUUCCAAGAAAUAGCAGCUCUCAUCCUUCUGACUUCACAAACCAGUAAAAAAGAAUGUAUAUCUUUAGAGAACUCAGGGUUACAAACUUUUUUAUUUUACCAAACAAGAACAUACAUUAGAGAAAAGGACAUGAAGGUUUAAGGAACAAUUUAAGGCUGAAAAAAAUGGUGAAGUCCCCAUCCUGUCCUUUUCUUUCCUAUUUUGCCACAGGCUGGCACCUGCCCUCCGCUGGUCAUUCAGGAACUGCGGGGGCUCCUGGUGCUCAAGCGCCCUUGAUCUUGGCUUCAGGUCUGCAGGACACACCGACCGUCACCACUGCUGAGUCAAGAAGGGGGUCUCCCCUCACUCCCUUCCCCACAUUCCUACUGAUUCACUCCCACUGAUGACUGGGUAGAAAAGUUGCAGAACACUGAUUUAGAUCAUCGUAUUGAUACGAUCUUCUUCUUCAUUUCCUUUCCUUUAAUUCACGUGGAUUUUUUAAACAAAAUUUACUUAGUAAAAUUCCUUCACAGUACAAAGCUCUUUUAUUUGGACAAAGUUGGCUCCAGGCACCGAAAAGCUUGAUAUUCAUUUCCAGCCACCCCAACCUCAAGCACUUGGUAAUUACAGCCAAAAGAUCAGCAACUCUCACUGGGGAAAUACAUGGACCCUGUUUACAACAUUUUCAUACAUGGAACACAAACAUAUACAAGCAGCUUCUGCGAAUACUUAUACAUUACAUGAAAAGCAAAAAUAGUAUCAUGCUUUAAACUGUUUCUCAAAAAAUAAUUUCAAACGACAAGCUUUUAAAUAAUUAGGCCACUUAAUUUUUAUUACACCAAGAGUCAGAAAAUGAUUGCAGACUACAUCCUUUUACACAAAACACAUUUGUAGGGUUUCUAAAAAGCUACAUACAUAAAGGAAAAAUUUUAGAAUAAUAUCCUACUUUCAGUGUGUCAGGGAAAUUUGCUAAUAUGUUUUAAGGUUAUGUUAGUUUUUAUUUUUUUAAAGUAAUACAUACCUGGAUAGUCAAUGAGGGUUCAAUGCAGGUUCAUGUGGGACUGCAAAUCUGGCCUAUUUUUUGAUGAAUCUUGCUUUCAAAAUCUUAUUGACGUGACCACCUUCCCUGCACAUGAUUAGUUUUACUGGCAUCUGGGGGUCAUACAUGGGUCUCUUCAACUACCUCCUUAACUCAGAACUCCAGAAGCCAGCGAGCUCCAGAGAGGCCGGUAUCGGGUCUUCCCAUGCCUGAGGCACCCUUAGGUCCAUUCCUGGCCUCAAGGGAAUAUGGUGGUUGGAGGGAAGAGUGGACACACCAACACCCAGGAGAGGGCCUGGCAUGAAGCAGAUGUCCAGUGGAGACAACUGUCAUCCAAACAACUGAAAGGCUACCUUUAAGAUACAAUGCUGGCCGGGCGCGGUGAGAGUUGUAUUUUUCU